rnacentral:rRNA from 1 species
CUCUCUGCAGUCGAACGAGAAGCGGUUUUCGGAUCGCGAGUAAAGUGGCGAACGGGUGAGUAACGCGUGGGCAAUCUACCCUCGAGUGGGGGAUAACAUUCCUAACGGGAUGCUAAUACCGCAUGAUAUCACGUGGUCGCAUGGCCGUGUGAUCAAAGGUGGCCUCUGCUUGCAAGCUAUCGCUUGAGGAUGAGCCCGCGUACCAUUAGCUUGUUGGUGGGGUAACGGCCUACCAAGGCAGCGAUGGUUAGCCGGCCUGAGAGGGUGUCCGGCCACACUGGGACUGAGAUACGGCCCAGACUCCUACGGGAGGCAGCAGUAGGGAAUCUUGCGCAAUGGGGGAAACCCUGACGCAGCAACGCCGCGUGGGUGAUGAAGCUCUUCGGAGCGUAAAGCCCUGUCAGGAGGGAAGAACUGGUCACCGACCCAACACGUCGGAGACGUGACGGUACCUCCAGAGGAAGCUCCGGCUAACUCCGUGCCAGCAGCCGCGGUAACACGGGGGGAGCGAGCGUUGUUCGGAAUUACUGGGCGUAAAGGGCGCGCAGGCGGAUUCGCAAGUCAGGCGUGAAAACUCACGGCUUAACCGGGAGCCUGCGCCUGAAACUGCGGAUCUUGAGUACAGAAGAGGAGAGUGGAAUUCCUGGUGUAGCGGUGAAAUGCGUAGAUAUCAGGAAGAACACCGGUGGCGAAGGCGGCUCUCUGGUCUGAUACUGACGCUGAGGCGCGAAAGCGUGGGGAGCAAACAGGAUUAGAUACCCUGGUAGUCCACGCCGUAAACGAUGGGCACUAUGUGUUGGGGGUGUCGAUUCCCUCAGUGCCGAAGCUAACGCAUUAAGUGCCCCGCCUGGGGAGUACGACCGCAAGGUUGAAACUCAAAGGAAUUGACGGGGGCCCGCACAAGCGGUGGAGCAUGUGGUUCAUUCGACGCAACGCGAGAUCUUUACCGGGGUUUGACAUAUACCCGCAGCUGUAGAAUACAGCCCUCUUUUGGACGGUAUACAGUGCUGCAUGCUGUCGUCAGCUCGUGUCGUGAGAUGUGGGUUAGUCCGCACGAGCGCUACCUUGCCUAGUUGCAUCAGUUAUGCUGGGAACUCUAAGGGACUGCCGGUGAU